rnacentral:misc_RNA from 1 species
GAUGAAGAACGUAGCGAAAUGCGAUAAGUAGCGUGAAUUGCAGAAUUCAGUGAAUCAUCGAAUCUUUGAACGCACAUUGCGCCCCUUGGUAUUCCAUGGGGCAUGCCUGUUCGAGCGUCAUUUGUACCUUCAAGCUCUGCUUGGUGUUGGGUGUUUGUCUCGCCUUGCGCGUAGACUCGCCUUAAAACAAUUGGCAGCCGGCGUAUUGAUUUCGGAGCGCAGUACAUCUCGCGCUUUGCACUCAUAACGACGACGUCCAAAAGUACUUUUUACACUCUUGACCUCGGAUCAGGUAGGGAUACCCGCUGAACUUAAGCAUAUCAAUAAGCGGAGGA